UACAGAGGUCUCGAGCGUUGUUCGGAUUCAUUGGGCGUAAAGGGUGCGUAGGUGGCGCCGUAAGUCGGGUGUGAAAUCUCGGGGCUUAACUCCGAAACUGCAUUCGAUACUGCGGUGCUUGAGGACUGGAGAGGAGACUGGAAUUCAUGGUGAGCAGUGAAAUGCGUAGAGAUCAUGAGGAAGACCAGUGGCGAAGGCGGGUCUCUGGACAGUUCCUGACACUGAGACACGAAGGCCAGGGGAGCAAACGGG
rnacentral:rRNA from 1 species